rnacentral:rRNA from 1 species
AGUGAACGCUGGCGGUAGGCCUAACACAUGCAAGUCGAACGGCAGCACAGUAAGAGCUUGCUCUUACGGGUGGCGAGUGGCGGACGGGUGAGGAAUACAUCGGAAUCUACUUUUUCGUGGGGGAUAACGUAGGGAAACUUACGCUAAUACCGCAUACGACCUACGGGUGAAAGCAGGGGAUCUUCGGACCUUGCGCGAUUGAAUGAGCCGAUGUCGGAUUAGCUAGUUGGCGGGGUAAAGGCCCACCAAGGCGACGAUCCGUAGCUGGUCUGAGAGGAUGAUCAGCCCAACUGGAACUGAGACACGUUCCCGACUCCUACGGGAGGCAGCAGUGGGGAAUAUUGGACAAUGGGCGAAAGCCUGAUCCAGCCCUACCGCGUGGGUGAAGAAGGACUUCGGGUUGUAAAGCCCUUUUGUUGGGAAAGAAAAGCAGCAGGUUAAUACCCCGCUGUUCUGACGGUACCCAAAGAAUAAGCACCGGCUAACUUCGUG